AUGCUCACUUUGGCACUUAUACUAAAAUUGAAACAAUAGAGAAAACUAGCAUGGCCCCUAUGCAAAGAUGACACACACAUCUUUGAAGCAUUCCAUAUUUUU